GACGAACGCUGGCGGCGUGCUUAACACAUGCAAGUCGAACGGAAAGGCCCUGCUUUUGUGGGGUGCUCGAGUGGCGAACGGGUGAGUAACACGUGAGUAACCUGCCCUUGACUUUGGGAUAACUUCAGGAAACUGGGGCUAAUACCGUAUAGGAGCUCCUGCUGCAUGGUGGGGGUUGGAAAGUUUCGGCGGUAGGGGAUGGACUCGCGGCUUAUCAGCUUGUUGGUGGGGUAGUGGCUUACCAAGGCUUUGACGGGUAGCCGGCCUGAGAGGGUGACCGGCGACAUUGGGACUGAGAUACGGCGCAGACUCCUACGGGAGGCAGCAGUGGGGAAUAUUGCACAAUGGGCGGAAGCCUGAUGCAGCAACGCCGCGUGCGGGAUGACGGCCUUCGGGGUGUAAACAGCUGUCGCCUGUGACGAAGCGGGAGUGACGGUAAUGGGUAAAGAAGCACCGGCUAACUACGUG
rnacentral:rRNA from 1 species